rnacentral:rRNA from 1 species
GACGAACGCUGGCGGCGUGCUUAACACAUGCAAGUCGAACGGAAAGGCCCCUUCGGGGGUCCUCGAGUGGCGAACAGGUGAGUAACACGUGAGUAACCUGCCCUUGACUUCGGGAUAACUUCAGGAAACUGGGGCUAAUACCGGAUAGGAAUCCUUGCUGCAUGGUGGGGGUUGGAAAGCUUCGGCGGUUUUGGAUGGACUCGCGGCUUAUCAGCUUGUUGGUGGGGUAGUGGCUUACCAAGGCUUUGACGGGUAGCCGGCCUGAGAGGGCGACCGGCCACAUUGGGACUGAGAUACGGCCCAGACUCCGACGGGAGGCAGCAGUGGGGAAUAUUGCACAAGGGGCGGAAGCCUGAUGCAGCAACGCCGCGUGCGGGAUGACGGCCUUCGGGUUGGAAACCGCUUUCAGCAGGGGCGAAGCUUGUGGUGACGGUACCUGCAGAAGAAGCACCGGCUAACUACGUG